rnacentral:lncRNA from 1 species
ACGCGGUUGAAGCGGGGGAGGUUGGAGUGGAAGUAGACCCACACCGUGGCUUCCUCCAGUUCCGGGUGCCGGCUGAACAGGUCGCCGUCGCCGUGCACGAACGCCUUCAGAACCUGCAGCACACAGACACAGCAGAGAGUCUCAGCCGCCCACAUCCAUGAACACCACGUGAAAGCAGAGAAUUUUUUUUUUUUGAACGGGAAGGCAGAGAAUGCCUGAUCAAAUAUCUAGCGAGACAACGAUCGAGCCGUACUGACUAGUACUGAGCUAAUGUUCCCUUCCUGAAAUCUACCGCUAGUGCGCAUGAUUCACAAUUCAAUCGUGGCUCGUGGGCAAACGACGGGCAGCGACGAGACGACAAGACGCAAAGGAUGUCGAGCAGUGGUGCCGUAGCGAUCGACGUGGGGUCUCGCUAACCAGGCGGUUUCUUUGAAUUAUUGGCGAGCCAGGCAACCAGCCAAUGUGAAUUCGAGGAAUAAAAUAGAUGGGGGCACUGUGCUGUGUACUAUUCAGCAUGUGGUCCGUGUAUGUGGGCAGCAGGAGGACACGUACCACGGGGAGCUCCUUGCGGAAGAUGUAGUAGCGGAGGCCGGCGAUGAGGUCGAGCAGGAAGUGGCCGCCGGAGAUGUGGCAGUGGACGUGCAGCGACAUCCGGCCCCGCACCUUCUUCCACUCCGCCACCACCUCGUCCCGCUGCAGCCGGUUGUACCACCCCUGCAGCUGCGCGCGGUUGAUGGUGUGGGAGACGGCCAGCGUCAGGCUCGCCGUCACGUCGCUGUGGGUCAGCGUGUACGUCCGCGGCAGCAGCGGCAGCGGCGGCGGCUUGGUCCCCGGGUGCGCCGCGUGCUUGCCGCCGCUCUCCUCGUCCACGCCCAGGAACAGCACCUUCAGCUUCGACGCCUCGAAGAUCGCCGGACCGAACAGCCUCGCCGUCUACACGCAGACAGGAAACAGAGCAGCAGCCCCCUGCCGACUCAUCAGCUCAAAGACGCCCCAAAAAGAAAUUUCCUAUCAAGGGAGAUCGAUGGGAAUCGAGCAGAUCACGUACCG